rnacentral:lncRNA from 1 species
GAGGGGACCAGAAGAUUGGCUGGAGAAUAACACUUGUGAAAAGAUGGGAAUGAAGAGACCCAGAAGGGGAACUUGCCCAGGACAAUACAACUCAUAGGUGGAGUUCAGAUUCCACUCCAGGAGAUCUAGGCAAGAGCCUGUGCUUAACCCUAUGCCUCACCAUUCUCUGUUCCAGCCCUCAGGGAGGUGAAGGCGGAGGGUCAUUUAGGAAUCACCCUUAGGGCCCUUUUGUGACUUCCCUUCACAACUCCCAGAAGUAAUAUGUGACAUGUGGUCUAUAAGAGAGCAUUUGGUAAAUAACGAUCAAUUCAUUGUUUUCUUGAAGUCCUAUGUGGCUACCAAUCCUUGCUUAUUGGCCUGCAAUGCCACACACUUCCCCCACCACCACUACCACCAACACACACACACACACACACACACACACACUGCAGUCUCCUCAAGGAUGAAUUGGGAUUUCCAAUAGGCUUUUUUACAAGCUUCAGGCAACUCUCAAAGCACCCAGAUCAGCCCUGUAGGCUGUGGACAGGAGGCCACCUCUACCUACACGGCUCAGGCCCUGUCCAGCUCUCCCUGAAACCAUCAGGUCAACUUUUCCACUUAAAACCCAACCAAGCGUUGCGGGCAUGACUUUCCACAUAGGACACCGAAGUUAGACCUACUGCUGACAACAAUAGUAAUUAUAACUGCCAAGUAUAAAGUGCUAUGUGCCUUCAAUUUGAUCCUCUCGACAACCUAUGAGUUGAAGAAACUGGGUGGGGAUUGUUAUUUUUUUGUUAUUCACAACGGAAACAGAGUGUCAAAGAGUUGAAGUUCUUGCCACAGACCCUCAGGGAAAAAAAUGUCUGAGUCUAUAUUCAUGCUCAGGACUACCUGACUCUGAAGCCCUGCCCCUAAUUGCCAGACCACGGGAACUCCACACAGGAAUUAAUGAGAAAUGUCCAAGGAGUAGAUAGUUAUUGAUCACAUGCUAUGUGCCCAGUGCUGUAUUAAGCCUUGAGGAUGCAAUAAGACAGAAAUGGUCCCUGCCUAAUAGAAUUUAGAGCUCAAUAAAGACAACUACAGAAUUUAUUCAUUCAUCCAAUAUUCAUUGAGAGUCAUUAUGUCAGAGCCGGACACAAUUCUAAGUGUUUGAAGAUGCAACAAUGAACAGAAAAGGCAAGGACGCUGUCUUCAUAAUGUUAGGACAUUUCAAAACAGUGCAAUGGAGCAUUUUAAACAGGCAGUGGAAGAGUUAGGAGGGAAAACAAGAGUCUUACACUGGGCCCCAGCUGGGAUGUGCUUUCCCAGCCCCCAGGGAGCCAUCUAGCUGUUGGUGGGAAUUCUGGGCUGCUGAGAGGGCGGUCACCCACCCAGGCAGUUCCUGGAGUCACAUCCCAGGAGGGGGCCAGAGAGGGGCUGGCUGGCUUCUAACACUGGGUAGCUGAUUUCCAGCUGUGCUGAAUCCCUUGGGGCUCUCUAAUUAUUACAAAGAGUAUCAUGAAGUUCUCUUCACCAGUGCUCCUAAAGAGAUGAGUUUAAUCCACUUGCACUGAAAAAGUGUCUCUGUUGGCAAACAACAUCUGUCAUAGGAGAGGUGGAGCAGAAGAGGCAUGAAAGGGAGUGCCAUGAUGUUAAUAUCUGCUCCAAAAUGUUUGGGAAUAAAAGAAGUGAGGGGUUUUUAGGUGUUUUUUUUUAAGUUUUUAUUGAAGUAUAGUUGAUUUACAAGGUUGAGAUAAUCUCUGCUGUACAACAAAGUGAUUCAGUUAUACAUACACACAUAUCCAUUCUUUUCCAGAUUCCUUCCUCGUAAAGAUUAUCACAAAAUAUUGGGGAGGGUUCCCUGUGCUACACAGCAGGUCCCCAUUGGCCAACCAUUCCAAAUAUCACAGUGUGCUUAUGUCAAUUCCAGACCCCCAAUCCAUAUCUCUCCCCCACAUGUCCCCUUUGGUAACCAUAAAUUUGUUUCUGAA